GCACAGAGUUAGCCGGUGCUUCCUUUGAAGGUACCGUCACUUCCCGAGGCUGUUAACCCCGAAAACGUUCGUUCCCUCCGACAGAGCUUUACGACCCGAAGGCCUUCAUCACUCACGCGGCGUUGCUGCGUCAGGCUUUCGCCCAUUGCGCAAUAUUCCCCACUGCUGCCUCCCGUAGGAGUCUGGACCGUGUCUCAGUUCCAGUGUGGCUGAUCAUCCUCUCAGACCAGCUAACCAUCUUUGCCUUGGUAGGCCGUUACCCUACCAACUAGCUAAUGGUGCGCAGGCCCAUCUCCAAGUGAUAGCUUAUAAAUAGAGGCUACCUUUGACCCCUGCUUCCGAGGAAACUGUGGUCUUAUCCGGUAUUAGCCCAUCUUUCGACGGGUUAUCCCAAUCUUGGAGGCAGGUUACCUACGUGUUACUCACCCGUGCGCCACUUUACUCAGGGCCGAAGCCCCUUUCUCGUUCGACUUGCAUGUGUUAGGCACGCCGCCAGCGUUCGUU
rnacentral:rRNA from 1 species